UUAUGUGGGCACUCUAAGGAGACUGCCGGUGACAAACCGGAGGAAGGUGGGGAUGACGUCAAGUCAUCAUGGCCCUUACGGCCUGGGCUACACACGUGCUACAAUGGUCGGUACAAAGGGUUGCCAAGCCGCGAGGUGGAGCUAAUCCCAUAAAACCGAUCGUAGUCCGGAUCGCAGUCUGCAACUCGACUGCGUGAAGUCGGAAUCGCUAGUAAUCGUGAAUCAGAAUGUCACGGUGAAUACGUUCCCGGGCCUU
rnacentral:rRNA from 1 species